AACCCUUUAGUAUAUAAAGUAUAGUUAAUUUCCAAUUAAUAAGUAUUAAGGGUUA
rnacentral:tRNA from 1 species